GAUGAACGCUGGCGGCGUGCUUAACACAUGCAAGUCGAACGGAAAGGCCCAAGCUUGCUUGGGUACUCGAGUGGCGAACGGGUGAGUAACACGUGGGUGAUCUGCCCUGCACUUCGGGAUAAGCCUGGGAAACUGGGUCUAAUACCGGAUAGGACGAUGGUUUGGAUGCCAUUGUGGAAAGUUUUUUCGGUGUGGGAUGAGCUCGCGGCCUAUCAGCUUGUUGGUGGGGUAAUGGCCUACCAAGGCGUCGACGGGUAGCCGGCCUGAGAGGGUGUACGGCCACAUUGGGACUGAGAUACGGCCCAGACUCCUACGGGAGGCAGCAGUGGGGAAUAUUGCACGAUGGGCGCAAGCCUGAUGCAGCGACGCCGCGUGGGGGAUGACGGCCUUCGGGUUGUAAACUCCUUUCGCUAGGGACGAAGCGUUUUUGUGACGGUACCUGGAGAAGAAGCACCGGCUAACUACGUG
rnacentral:rRNA from 1 species